rnacentral:rRNA from 1 species
GCAAGUCGAACGAGAAGAUUAUGAUUGAGCCUUCGGGUGAGAGAUUAAUUGGAAAGUGGCGAACGGGUGAGUAACGCGUGGGUAACCUGCCCUAUGGAAAGGAAUAGCCUCGGGAAACUGGGAGUAAUGCCUUAUGACAUAGAGAAGUCGCAUGGCUUUUCUAUCAAACGCUCCGGUGCCAUAGGAUGGACCCGCGUCCCAUUAGCUGGUUGGUGAGGUAACGGCUCACCAAGGCGACGAUGGGUAACCGGUCUGAGAGGGCGAAC